rnacentral:sRNA from 1 species
AGCCGCGCGGCCACUGCGAGCCCAGCCGCAGCAGCCGGGCACCAACGCUUGAGUGCACGCUCGGCGCCCCCGAGGACAGCCACGGCGAGCCCCCAAAGCCCGCACGAUGCAGGCCACUGCCGAUUCCACCAAGAUGGACUGUGUGUGGAGCAACUGGAAAAGUCAGGCUAUUGACCUGCUGUAUUGGCGGGACAUCAAGCAGACGGGCAUCGUGUUUGGGAGUUUCCUGCUGCUGCUCUUCUCCCUGACCCAGUUCAGCGUGGUGAGCGUUGUGGCCUACCUGGCCCUGGCCGCACUCUCAGCCACCAUCAGUUUCCGCAUCUACAAGUCUGUUUUACAAGCUGUGCAGAAAACCGACGAGGGCCACCCUUUCAAUUUGCAGUCCUGAUGUGGCUCCUGACCUACGUUGGCGCUCUGUUCAAUGGCCUGACCCUGCUGCUCAUGGCUGUGGUUUCAAUGUUUACUCUACCUGUAGUGUAUGUUAAGCACCAGGCACAGAUUGACCAAUAUCUGGGACUUGUGAGGACUCACAUAAAUGCUGUUGUGGCAAAGAUUCAGGCUAAAAUCCCAGGCGCUAAGAGG